CAGAAGAUUAAUGGCCACAGUCUUCACUAUUUGAAUCCCCCGCAUGAGUUUCUGAAGCUGUAUAGAGUCACCAAAUAGUCACCAGAGUGAAUAUGGAAACGCGUCAUGGUACUGAAGGGGUUAAAAGGCAAUUGGUGUAAAGAUACUUAGGUUGUAAAGGUGUUCUUGUUGGUGUUGUGGUGUUGCGGUGGUGUUGUACAUGUUGCCGAGUUCCGUCCAUUUGUGUGUGAUGUGUUUGUAAAUGGUUAUGAUGGUGGUGAUGAUGAUGAUGAUGAUGUGUGUGUGUGUGUGUGUGUGUGUGUGUUAGGUAGGACAGAACGGUAGAUAGAAACGGACGAGUGGUUAACACACACACACACACACACACACACACACACACACACACACACACACACACACACACACACACACACGACAUAAUAUACAAAUAAUAAAUAAAUACAAAAUAAAUUAGAUAAAAGCAAAAAAAAAAAAAAAAGUUAGUUUGAUGAGAAAUAUACAAAUUUUAUGUAGAAUAUACACAUGGAAAUUUAUUAUAUGUGAAGAAAUAGAUGUUUAUGUGUAGAGCGUGUGCAAUACUCUAGAGAUAUACAUUGAUGUGAAAAAAAAAAGAAGAAUUAAAAGGAGGUUGUCUGCAUAGAGAUAAAAGUAAUGAAAUAUGGAUGAAUAGAUAAAAUAAGUAAAUAAAUAGAUCUAUAGCGUUCAUUUUGUCGAUAAGGCGUGCAAGAAAAUGAAUAAAAUAAGAAUUGAAUGAAGAAAAUGAAUAGAACGCGUGGAAAAGAAAGAAAUAGAAGAAAAUAGACUUGAAUGAAGAAACAAAUAAAUAAAACACAUGGAAACAAAGAAAUAGAACAAAAUAAAGUUGAAUGGAGGAACAAAUGAAUAGAUAACUAAAUAGAUAAAUAAAAAAACAAAUCAGUUCUUAUUUUUUUUCGUGGAAGAUUAUAUGACAAAAAAAAUCAAAUAGAAAUAAAUAAAUGAAUAAAUAGAACAGACUUUGAUUUUAUAGAGAUUGUAAAAAGAUAAGGAGAUAAGAAGAUGAGCACAAUAACGUAUCAAGGAAGGAGAAAGACAGCCAUUAAUUAAGUAGUUCACCUUGUAUUAGUCCUGGAUUAGCCCUGUAUGGUGUGUUCCCCGUAGUGUGUCCCUGACCUGCUGUAUAUUUGCAUUGGGGUGACAUGGAUUCAAGGCUGUAAAGAAAUAUACACCAUUGAUUAUAUAGGAAGUUGUUUUAUUGAGAUAAUUUAUGUGGUUAGUGGUGGUGAUGGUGGUAGUAGUAGUAGUAAUGGUGGUUGUGGUUGUGGUUGUGGUUGUUGUUAUUGUUGUUGUUCAUUUGUUUAUUUCAAGUUAAUCUUACGAACACUUAGAAGAAAGUAAGUUUACAUUCAUUACUUCAGUUGACACGAGGCUUCACAAGAAUUGAAUCAGUCAAUCAUUAUUGUCUUAAAACUACAAAACUUGGCUUGAAAAGAGUACAUUGAUAUAAUCUUUGACAUAUUUAACGUACUAACUUAUCAUAAUCAACUCAAGAUCAGAAUAACAAUAUCAGCAAAGAUUAUUUUAUUUAGUUUUAAAGUUUUCGAAGCACAGACUUGGAACUUUAACAAAAAAAUAAAUAAAUAUAAUAAAUAAAUAAAUACAUGAAAAGUACUAUAUUCAACGCUACAUCUAACUAAUAAACGCCUCAUAAUGUACUCGUAGGUGAAUAAAACAACAACAAAACAAACACAUUCACUCAUUUCGCAUCAAAAUCUUCGAACUUCAAGUCUGAUUCGAAACUAACACAAGACGAAGCAUUUCCUGGAAGGGUCGGCCAUUUCAGCGCUGGUGGUGGUGGUGGUGAUUUGCUGUCCGCUUCGUUGUUCGUGGUCCGCUUCGCCGCCCACCGCCGUCCGCUUUCCUGUUGCUGUGGUUGUCUCCUUCCUCCUCCCGUCAUCCUCCGUCCUUGUGGAAGUAACCUCCCUGUAGGUGUGUGGCAGGGGAGGAUGGGAGGCAGCAGGGGCACACAGGAGCUGUCUAGUGGAGGCGUCCAGACCACAGUCCACCAAACCUUCCUGAGCAAACGCCUGUGUGGAGAGAUGACAGAAACAAUACAGGUACCAGAGUCCACCACCACCCUACUACUACUACUACUACUACUACUAUGGGAACUGGAGGACUGACUGCAGCCCAACUGGCUGCCAUAUAGACUGGAAGUGCAAAACACACAAUCUAUGUACUCACUGAAGGCAGCUCCUUACACCCACACCCCCACCAGCAAAUAAUUGACUAUUGAAUUCAUGAAAAAUUAUUCAAUUUUAAAUUCAGUAGAAAUUAAAAGAAAAAUAAGAAGCUUAGAUUAUAGAACAGAAUCCUUAAAGAUUUAUGAAAUGACUGAAGAAGGAAUUGGUUGUGAGCCGCACGUACACUGAAGGCUGCAGUGUGUAGACAUGAGGCAUCUGGAAGAUGUCAAGUCAGGUGGAGGUGUUGGCAAGAUGGCACUCCCUCACUCCUGUGUCAUGUUUACGAUGGCAGGGACUUUUACACGAAAACACGUCUUGAUUUUUACCUGAACGCUGAUGUGUAACAAAGUUGCAGUAGUUUCAGAAAUACAUCAUAGAAACAUAGAAACAGACGGAGAGAAACUUCAAACCCUGCUCCUUCUCCUUACCCUCUGUGUCUGUCUUACUUUCUCUCCCUCGGUUUCUAUAUAAACUGGUGGAUUUCCAAAACUGUUCUAACUUUGUUGCACAUCACCAUUGAGGUAAAAAUUAAGGUGCGUUUUCUGUAUGAAAGUGUCCUGCCAUCCUAAACGUGACACGUGAGCGAGGGAGUGCCACCUUGCUGAUGCCUCCACCUGACCUGAUGUCCUCCAGACGCCGCACGUCUACACACUGCAGCUUUCAGCUUACGUGUGGCUCACAAGCAAUUCCUUCUCAGUCAUUUCAUAAAUCUUUGUGGAAUCUUCAAGUUCUAUAAUCUGAGUUUCUCUUAUUUCCUUUCUCAGUACAUACCUUAGAUUUACUAUGUGCUGAAUCUAAAAUGGAACCAUUUUUCAUUAGUUUGAGAAUCAAUUAUUCACUUGUGGGGGUGUAAGGAGCUGCCUUGAAUACAGAAAUGAGCUGCCUUCAAUACAUAAAUUUGCAUUGUAAUUGCAGUUUCCUCCCAGACUAUAUGAUGGCCAGUUGUUGGGCUGCAGUCUGUAGUUCUAGACAAUGCUACUACUACUAUUACGUAUACUCGUUUUCACAGUAAGGUGACCACUUCCCUUAAAAUAAGCUCCAGCCACACCUUUUCUGUGAUUGGCAGGUAAAAUACAUCAGGUAUAAAUAAACACCAUCCUUUCCUGUCAUACACACAUGCACAUGCACACACACACACUUGCUGUUUUAGGGAGGUUAUGCAAUCUCAUGCCUGAAAUGUAACAAUGAUGUGUGUGUGUGCAUGUGUUUGUGUGAGAAUGAAGAUUCUAUUACAUUUUAAAUAGGGAAGUAAUAUAAAUAAAUAUACAAUGCAGAUAUGUACAUAGUUUAUAAAUGUAAGGGAUGCCAAACAAUGCUAGUUCCCCCACCCAGGAUAAACAAUGCAGGAUAGGAAAAAAGCUCAAGUACUGAUAGGCAGCAUAGUUCAUUGUUGGUUUACACUUACAAGCUCAAUAUUCAGUGCUUGCUCCACUGGCGUCACCAACACCUUAAAGACCAGCAGGGUAGCAAGACAAAAGGGACUCAAAAAGCUCUGUAUUAAACUCCAUCUCUCAAAGGACAGCAGCGGUGUGCUCCUCCAUCGUGUCUGUAUCUCUACCAACUCUACACUAAAUAUUGAGCUUGUAAGAGUAAACCAACAAUGAACUGUGCUGCCUAUCGGUA